CAGCAGACACAUUCCAGCCAAUCAGCAGCAGACUCUCCCUCCCAGAUUCUCCCACACCUCCCACCUCCUGGACAGCAUCCAUUUUGAAGCUGCAUUCUUAGUGAGCUGUCCAGGAGGUGGGAGGGUCUGGGAGGGAGGGUCUGCUGCUGAUUGGCUGGAAUGUGUCUACUG